rnacentral:rRNA from 1 species
CCUGAACGCUGGCGGCGUGGCUAAGACAUGCAAGUCGAACGGGUGUAGCAAUACACCAGUGGCGGACGGGUGAGUAAUGUAUCGCUAAUGUACCCCGGAGCCUGGGAUAGCUAGCCGAAAGGUUAGGUAAUACCAGAUGAUACAACUGGAUCGCAUGGUUCGGUUUUCAAAGCAGCAAUGCACUCUGGGAGCAGGCGAUAUCGUAUCAGCUAGUUGGUGAGGUAACGGCUUACCAAGGCUAUGACGCGUAGCUGGUCUGAGGGGACGGCCAGCCACAUCGGGACUGAGACACUGCCCCGGACUCCUACGGGGGGCUGCAGUAACGAAUCUUCCGCAAUGCACGAAAGUGUGACGGAGCGACGCCGCGUGGAGGACGAAGUCUUCGGAAUGUAAACUCCUGUCAGGGGUUAGAAAGUUCUGAUCAA